AUCUAGAUUACGAGUCUCAAAUAGGACGAAACGCGCAUCCUGGAU
rnacentral:hammerhead_ribozyme from 1 species